rnacentral:rRNA from 1 species
GGGGGAACUGAAACAUCUAAGUACCCCGAGGAAAAGAAAUCAACCGAGAUUCCCCCAGUAGCGGCGAGCGAACGGGGAGCAGCCCAGAGCCUGAAUCAGUGUGUGUGUUAGUGGAAGCGUCUGGAAAGGCGCGCGAUACAGGGUGACAGCCCCGUACACAAAAAUGCACAUGCUGUGAGCUCGAUGAGUAGGGCGGGACACGUGGUAUCCUGUCUGAAUAUGGGGGGACCAUCCUCCAAGGCUAAAUACUCCUGACUGACCGAUAGUGAACCAGUACCGUGAGGGAAAGGCGAAAAGAACCCCGGCGAGGGGAGUGAAAAAGAACCUGAAACCGUGUACGUACAAGCAGUGGGAGCACGCUUAGGCGUGUGACUGCGUACCUUUUGUAUAAUGGGUCAGCGACUUAUAUUCUGUAGCAAGGUUAACCGAAUAGGGGAGCCGAAGGGAAACCGAGUCUUAACUGGGCGUUAAGUUGCAGGGUAUAGACCCGAAACCCGGUGAUCUAGCCAUGGGCAGGUUGAAGGUUGGGUAACACUAACUGGAGGACCGAACCGACUAAUGUUGAAAAAUUAGCGGAUGACUUGUGGCUGGGGGUGAAAGGCCAAUCAAACCGGGAGAUAGCUGGUUCUCCCCGAAAGCUAUUUAGGUAGCGCCUCGUGAAUUCAUCUCCGGGGGUAGAGCACUGUUUCGGCAAGGGGGUCAUCCCGACUUACCAACCCGAUGCAAACUGCGAAUACCGGAGAAUGUUAUCACGGGAGACACACGGCGGGUGCUAACGUCCGUCGUGAAGAGGGAAACAACCCAGACCGCCAGCUAAGGUCCCAAAGUCAUGGUUAAGUGGGAAACGAUGUGGGAAGGCCCAGACAGCCAGGAUGUUGGCUUAGAAGCAGCCAUCAUUUAAAGAAAGCGUAAUAGCUCACUGGUCGAGUCGGCCUGCGCGGAAGAUGUAACGGGGCUAAACCAUGCACCGAAGCUGCGGCAGCGACGCUGAUGCGUUGUUGGGUAGGGGAGCGUUCUGUAAGCCUG